AUGAGUUACUCAAAAGUAGAAAAUCAAUUAUUUUUUAUUUUUGCAUUUUUCAGCAGCAAAUGUUUUAUUUUAAACAAUUGGAAAGACAAUCUAAACAAGUUUGAUGCUAACCCUAAUGAUGGAAUAUAUUUAAGGUUUUGUCAUCUAGUAAGGCUUAUAUGGGGUUUAACCAUAGAACAUUCGUUGUUAAAGAGCCUAUUUAAGUUGCUUUUGAUGAAAUCAAAUCUCAUAAGAUAUGGAAAGGUAGUUAUAAUUUUGAUGUUUCAAGUGUAUUAA